AUGCACGCUGGCGGCGUGCCUAAUACCUGCAAGUCGAGCGAACGGACGAGAAGCUUGCUUCUCUGAUGUUAGCGGCGGACGGGUGAGUAACACGUGGAUAACCUACCUAUAAGACUGGGAUAACUUCGGGAAACCGGAGCUAAUACCGGAUAAUAUUUUGAACCGCAUGGUUCAAAAGUGAAAGACGGUCUUGCUGUCACUUAUAGAUGGAUCCGCGCUGCAUUAGCUAGUUGGUAAGGUAACGGCUUACCAAGGCAACGAUGCAUAGCCGACCUGAGAGGGUGAUCGGCCACACUGGAACUGAGACACGGUCCAGACUCCUACGGGAGGCAGCAGUAGGGAAUCUUCCGCAAUGGGCGAAAGCCUGACGGAGCAACGCCGCGUGAGUGAUGAAGGUCUUCGGAUCGUAAAACUCUGUUAUUAGGGAAGAACAUAUGUGUAAGUAACUGUGCACAUCUUGACGGUACCCAAUCAGAAAGCCACGGCUAACUACGUG
rnacentral:rRNA from 1 species